rnacentral:snRNA from 12 species
UAGUGUUACAGCUCUUUUAGAAUUUGUCUAGUAGGUCUUCUAGUUUUUCUGGAAGACCCUU